UACGGAGGGAGCUAGCGUUGUUCGGAAUACUGGGCGUAAAGCGUGCGCCAGGCGGUUUUGUAAGUCUGUUGUGAAAAUCCCCGGGCUCAACCUGGGAAUGGCAAUGGAGACUGCAAGGCUGAGAGUUUGGCAGAGGGGGGUAGAAUUCCACGUGUAGCAGUAGAAAUGCGUAGAUAUGUGGGAGGAACACCGAUGGCGAAGGCAGCCCCCUGGGUCAAAACUGACGCUCGAUGCACGAAAAGCGUGGGGAGCAAACAGG
rnacentral:rRNA from 1 species